GAUGAAGAACGUAGCGAAAUGCGACAAGUAAUGUGAAUUGCAGAAUUCAGUGAAUCAUCGAAUCUUUGAACGCACAUUGCGCCCCCUGGUAUUCCGGGGGGCAUGCCUGUCCGAGCGUCAUUGCUGCCCUCAAGCACGGCUUGUGUGUUGGGCCUCCGUCCUCCUCCCGGGGGACGGGCCCGAAAGGCAGCGGCGGCACCGCGUCCGGUCCUCGAGCGUAUGGGGCUUCGUCACCCGCUCUUGUAGGCCCGGCCGGCGCUUGCCGACACAUCAAUCUUUUUUCCAGGUUGACCUCGGAUCAGGUAGGGAUACCCGCUGAACUUAAGCAUAUCAAUAAGCGGAGGA
rnacentral:misc_RNA from 1 species